rnacentral:rRNA from 1 species
AACGAACGCUGGCGGCAUGCCUAACACAUGCAAGUCGAACGAAGUCUUCGGACUUAGUGGCGCACGGGUGCGUAACGCGUGGGAAUCUGCCCUUGGGUUCGGAAUAACAGUGAGAAAUUACUGCUAAUACCGGAUGAUGACUUCGGUCCAAAGAUUUAUCGCCCAAGGAUGAGCCCGCGUAAGAUUAGCUAGUUGGUGAGGUAAAGGCUCACCAAGGCGACGAUCUUUAGCUGGUCUGAGAGGAUGAUCAGCCACACUGGGACUGAGACACGGCCCAGACUCCUACGGGAGGCAGCAGUGGGGAAUAUGGGACAAUGGGCGAAAGCCUGAUCCAGCAAUGCCGCGUGAGUGAUGAAGGCCUUAGGGUUGUAAAGCUCUUUUACCAGGGAUGAUAAUGACAGUACCUGGAGAAUAAGCUCCGGCUAACUCCGUGCCAGCCGCCGCAGUAA